rnacentral:rRNA from 1 species
AACGAACGCUGGCGGCGCGCCUAACACAUGCAAGUCGAACGAGAAGCUGUAGCAAUACAGUUGUACAGUGGCGAACGGGUGAGGAAUACAUGGGUGACCUACCCUCGAGUGGGGAAUAACCAGCCGAAAGGUUGGCUAAUACCGCGUACGUUUCCCAGUCUGCGGAUUGGGGAAAGGAAAGCGAUGCCGUGAGUAUCGCGCUCAA